rnacentral:rRNA from 1 species
GACAGAGGUGCCGAGCGUUAGGCGGAAUCACUGGGCUUAAAGCGUGUGUAGGCGGGCGGGCAAGUACCUUGUGAAAUCCCACGGCUUAACCGUGGAACUGCUUGGUAUACUGGGUGUCUUGAGCCAACUAGAGGCAGUCGGAACAAACGGUGGAGCGGUGAAAUGCGUAGAUAUCGUUUGGAACGCCAAUGGUGAAAACAGACUGCUGGGGUUGUGCUGACGCUGAGACACGAAAGCCAGGGGAGCGAACGGG